rnacentral:rRNA from 1 species
GCAAGUCGAACGAGAAAGCCCUUCGGGGUUAGUAAAGUGGCGAACGGGUGAGUAACGCGUGAGAAUCUACCCUUUGGUGGAGGAUACCUUUGAGAAAUCGAAGUUAAUCCUGCAUAAGUUCUACGGAAGAAAGACGGCCUCUUGCUGUCGCCAAAGGAUGAGCUUGCGUCCUAUUAGCUUGUUGGUGGGGUAAUAGCCUACCAAGGCGAUGAUGGGUAGCCGGCCUGAGAGGGUGUAC